GACGAACGCUGGCGGCGUGCUUAACACAUGCAAGUCGAACGGAAAGGCCCUGCUUUUGUGGGGUGCUCGAGUGGCGAACGGGUGAGUAACACGUGAGUAACCUGCCCUUGACUUUGGGAUAACUUCAGGAAACUGGGGCUAAUACCGGAUAGGAGCUCCUGCUGCAUGGUGGGGGUUGGAAAGUUUCGGCGGUUGGGGAUGGACUCGCGGCUUAUCAGCUUGUUGGUGGGGUAGUGGCUUACCAAGGCGUUGACGGGUAGCCGGCCUGAGAGGGUGACCGGCCACAUUGGGACUGGGAUACGGCCCAGAGUCCUACGGGAGGCAGGAGUGGGGAAUAUUGCAAAAUGGGCGGAAGCCUGAUGCAGCAACGCCGCGUGCGGGAUGACGGCCUUCGGGUUGUAAACCGCUUUCGCCUGUGACGAAGCGUGAGUGACGGUAAUGGGUAAAGAAGCACCGGCUAACUACGUG
rnacentral:rRNA from 1 species